UACGAACCGUCCAAACGUUAUUCGGAAUCACUGGGCUUAAAGGGUGCGUAGGCGGCCCGGGAAGUUGGGUGUGAAAUCCCUCAGCUUAACUGAGGAAUUGCGCUCAAAACUGCCGGGCUUGAGGGAGACAGAGGUGAGCGGAACUUAGGGUGGAGCGGUGAAAUGCGUUGAUAUCCUAAGGAACACCGGGGGCGAAAGCGGCUCACUGGGUCUUUUCUGACGCUGAGGCACGAAAGCUAGGGGAGCGAACGGG
rnacentral:rRNA from 1 species